rnacentral:tRNA from 1 species
CGGGGCGUGGGAAAGGCUGGGAAUCCGCCUGGUUCGGGUCCAGGAGAGCGCCGGUUCGAAUCCGGCCGCCCCGA